AUCACCCAAAAUGGGUGCCAAGGGCAUCGGAACCGCAAAUCGAUAAUCACCCAAAAUGGGUGCCAAGGGCAUCGGAACCGCAAAUCGAUAAUCACCCAAAAUGGGUGCCAAGGGCAUCGGAACCGCAAAUCGAUAAUCACCCAAAAUGGGUGCCAAGGGCAUCGGAACCGCAAAUCGAUAAUCACCCAAAAUGGGUGCCAAGGGCAUCGGAACCGCAAAUAGACAAUCACCCAAAAUGGGUGCCAAGGGCAUCGGAACCGCAAAUCGAUAAUCACCCAAAAUGGGUGCCAAGGGCAUCGGAACCGCAAAUCGAUAAUCACCCAAAAUGGGUGCCAAGGGCAUCGGAACCGCAAAUCGAUAAUCACCCAAAAUGGGUGCCAAGGGCAUCGGAACCGCAAAUAGACAAUCACCCAAAAUGGGUGCCAAGGGCAUCGGAACCGCAAAUCGAUAAUCACCCAAAAUGGGUGCCAAGGGCAUCGGAACCGCAAAUCGAUAAUCACCCAAAAUGGGUGCCAAGGGCAUCGGAACCGCAAAUCGAUAAUCACCCAAAAUGGGUGCCGAGGGCAUCGGAACCACAAAUAGAUAAUCACCCCGGAAUAAUACAUACUUCUGGCAUCCGCUUUUCAAACGUCGUCCUGACAAACAGAACUGCCCGGUGAUGUGGCAGCGCUUACAUGAAGACCCUUCAUCUUGUUUAGUCGCAUCUCUUCCUCUGCUCAACGUACUGAGACACAAGGGCGCAGACAUCAUUGCCGUCUGUAGGUGGGUACCGCGGGACAAGGCGGACCCUGAAGUCCAGUUAAUGAGCGGCUCUGACUGCCUUCCCACCUCGUUGAGAAUGACACGUCCAUCUUCCUUUUCUCCCCCUCAAAAGCUGGAUGCUUUUAGUCUGGACUUCAUUGGCUCUCCAGCUUUUCUUUUAACCAAAGAGAGUGGUUUAGAAGGUCCUUGGAGAACUUUUCCUAGUGUGCAAAUAAUGUCAGAAUAAUAAGCAUAUUUUAAAAAAAGUUGAUGUGUUAUUCCUGCUGUGAUAAUGGUCAUUUUUCUUUGUUUAAUGGAGUAAAAACUUAACUAGUGUCGUUUUAUUAGGAUGACUUGGCAUUUAUGGAGUCUCGUGUUUGUAUUUUUACAUGAAUUUAUUUUUAAUGAGUUUCAACUAUUAUAAGAUACUUAUAUUUAAAGCUCUGUUUCUGGAUAUCAUAGCGCCACAUAUACACACAUUUGUACAGGAUAGGUGCAUACAUCCAGAAUACAUACAUAUAUUUGGAUGGCCUUCCGUUUGUUGUAUAUAUGGUGAGAAAUUCAAAAUCAUCCCUAUUUAUACAGCCUUUGGCAGUUUGAGCAAUGUGUUUUGUCACCUGUUUGCUGUCUUAUAAAGAUCUGGAAAGUUUAUGAAGAAAUAGAAAAUAUGACUUUGAGCCCUUGACAUUUUAAAAUAAAUGUACAUAUUGUUAGUGACAGAUUGCUAAACUUGGCUUUAGACACUUAGCUGUGUUUCUUGCCAAAAGUAAUCCAGAUGUGCAUAAUUUAUCCGGCUGCCAUAUGUGCACUGACAUGUCUUUCUAUAAUCAACUGUCUGUUCAGUAUUGUUACAGUUAAAUGUUCUUUUUUAUCAACAAUCUUUUGAAACAGCUCCGACUUGAUAAAUUAUUUAAAAUAGUAAAAACACUCUGUUAAAAUUCUCAUUUUCUGUUUUUAUUAAGGCUCAGUGACUAGAAUAUUUUUCUAGAAAGAACAUUGGCACUCCAAGUUCCAUGGAUACAUAAUACACACAUACACACACACUUACAUGUGGAUACAUAUACACAGAGACACACACACAUUUAUUCUUACAUAAUUUUUAAGAGAGAAUCUAGAAGCGCAAAGGUUUGCAUAAUUCUAUUUUGAUGAGUUUUCUGGGAGCUGAUGUGGAAUAAGGGAAUAUGUAAAUAAAUCAGUACCUUUGGGGGAGAAAAGGAGGAUCCUUUUCUAACCGGGUCAUUUGGUUUGGAAAAGAAAUGGAAAAAGGAAAUUUUGAUACAGAUUAAAUAAACAUAUGGAAAUGAGGCAUGCCUAUUCCGAGCAUCCCCAACUCCACCGCUCUUGUGUUAGGUAAGAACCAUUUUCUGAGCCCCUAAUAAGGCUUUUUUGGUCCUGGCCUACUUGCCAACCCAAGUCUGCUUGGUCCAGAAAGGCAUUUCAGGUAGGGAAAGAUGUAAACAGCAGGAAGAAUGUCCUUCCUUUGUUGCCCCUGCUUGCUGCGUGGAGGCUUUGAAGAAAUUCAGACCUCUUGACUUUGGUGUCUCCCAGGCGUGCAUCCCUCUCCGCAAUCCCUUUGCCCUGAAAGGAGGCAGGGAGGCCCCUGGCCCCAACAGCCUUGCUCUUUGCAGGCAUGCAGUGCCCCCCAGCUCCCAUCCUGCUCAGGCCAGGGAUGCUUCGCAACCAUGUGUGUCAUAAUCUGGGUUUGUCCACAGCUGCAGUUCAGGUUUUCACACUGUCCCCAUCUGUGGAGCCUGGCUGUGCAGUGACCUUGGUCAGUCUGAAAUCUGUUCAGCCAAGCCCAUAUGUGGGGAGAAACCAGGAGGACAGAUGGCAAGACUGAUGAGGAGGAACUUGCCAAUGCUUUUCAGAUUGGAGGGGUUAGAACAAAAAAGACUUCAAGGGAGUUAUAAUGCAGAAUAAAAGAAGAGGAAGCAAGUGUGCCCUGAAGCUGCCUCUAGUGAGUUCAAUUCACCUGGUCCUGCUUCUCAGAGUAGUAAAAGUUCUUGGAGAUGUAAUAAUUGCUCUAUGACUGAUAAUAUUUGAGUUGUUUGGAGAAUAGAAAUUGAGCAAGCACCUAAUGUGAAAAGAACCCAACAACCACUUGGAGGCAGGCAAAUUUUAUCCUGGUUAAAAAAAAAAUAAAAGGAAAGGAAAUGGGUACUACAGAUUUUGGUUUGGUUACUGUACAGAUAUUCUGAAUAUAGAAUGCAUUUUUCAAGAUCUAUCUAUAAAUCAUUUAUGAGUAAUUAGAGUAGAUUUGAUUACUGCAAGUCUUAUUUGUUACCUGUUGUUUUUCUUGAAAAAUAAUCAUUCUUCUCUAGGGUUUGUAAGCAGCAAACCAUAUUAAUCUCAUUUCUUUCAUUCCUUUUUUUAUAUUAGGCGAGUAUUUGAAGGGUUGCAUUAAAUAUCAUACAUUUAUUGAUGUGUGUUAGCCAAAAGGAAUGUUUUUGAGGCAGAAUGUCUUUUUUUCCCCAGAAAAACAUUUGAUAGUCUCAAUAUACUUGUGGAGAAAGAUGGUGAGUCAAAGGAUUGCGUUAUAGCAUCAAUGAAUUUAUAACUGAUUGACCAGUUACAUUCAAAGACUUAAACAUUGAAUCAUUGUCUAGCUAGAGGAUAUAUCUGAUGGAAUACUACAGGGCACUCUCUUCCUCUUGCCUUGAUUAUUCAUGAAUGACUUGGAUGUGUUGGUCUAAGUACUUUAUAUGCCUGUGUCUCCGUCGAUCAUUCCUAACAUAAAUCUGAGAGGGAUAGAUGACCAGAUUGGAUCUAGCCCAUUCCAAUAAGGUUUAAAGGAGAGAUAGAUGUGAAGACUCAUACCAUUCAUGAUUGGUAAUGUCCUGCACCCUUAAACUUACCACAUGUCUUUUCAUUGCCUUGUAUGCUUAUCUGCAAUUGUAUUUUUUCUGAUAGGAUAUUCCAUGACUUGAAGCUAUAUCAUAUGAUUAAGAGAACAUUGGUGUUAAAGGGAUAAUUUUUAUUAUCUCUUAUUUUCUAGUAUCUUUACUAUCUUUGAGCCUCUUCGGCUGGAGAGUGGUCUGCCAGAUGUAGUAUACACAUUGUACUAGUGAAGAAUUUAUUUUUUCUCAUCAAUCCUUUUAAUUACUUUUUAAAGACUUUCCCUAUAUAUAUACAUUACAUAUAGAUAGAUAUAGUAUUGCUUUCUUCCUUUUUUUUCCCACUGGGAAAGACCUAAAUGAGGUGCUCCUAGAGUUUUUAUAUAUUGAAUUAUUUUUGUGUAAUGUACCAAUGGUACGAAGUUAAAAAGUGGAGAGAUACAACUCUAAAAACAUACUUCUUUAACAUAUAGUCUAUUUAAAUAGAUUAAGAUAAUUUAAAAUGCCUUGAAUGGUUCAUCAGUUUUAAUAGCAUAUGUUACACUAUUCCUUAUUCAGGUAUAAGUUGCCAUUAAAAUAUUUUUUGAGUUAGUCAUUCCUUAUACUUAAGCUUGCAACUGUUUUAUCAGUUUCUCUUCUAUCAUAUCAUAUCAAUGCACACCUGCAUGUUUUCUUUACACUUUCAGACUGACUGCCUCUACUAAGGAAUGGAAAGCUAGCUUCCGAAUGAGAAAAGCCUAAAUUGAAGUCUUUGAUAUUCUGGCUGUAGGCGCCCAGACCAGUUACUUACCUUCUCUGUGUCCCAAGCAAAUUUCUAAGACUUUGAAGUGUCUGAUCAGGUGUCUAUGUGUGUAAAUAGAGAAUUUCCUCAAGAAAUCUCUAUGCCAGUGAAAUGAUAAAUUUGAUUUUAAAAAUAGGGGGCAGCUGGGUAGCUCAGUGGAUGGAGAGCUAGCCCUAGAGACGGGAUGUUCUAGGUUCAAAUCUGGCCUCAGACACUUCCCAGCUGUGUGACCCUGGGCAAGUCACUUGACCCCCAUGGCCUGGCCCUGACCACUCUUCUGCCUUGGAGCCAAUACACAGUAUUGACUCAAGGACAGAAGGUGAGGGUUUUAAAAAAAAAUAGUAGACUGUAUGUUUUUAGGCUACAGCUAUACUAUAUGACAUCCAGAAGGGGAGGAAUUUCUAAGAGCACCUUAUUUCUAGUUUCUCAAAGUGGAAAUUACCAAUUAUUUACAUCCCUACAGGGCAGAAUUAUAGAGGCAAUGAUUGGAAGUUACAGAGCCAGAUUUAGGUUUAGAGUGAGGACAAAGUUCCCCCUCCCAUGAUAGCCAGCAGUCAAUGGAAUGGGCUGCCUCAGGAGGGGCCUCCAUCUCCCUGGCUGCCUUUCAAGCACCACCUCCAUGGUCACUUGAACACAUUCUACAAGGGGGGUUCUUGCUCAAGUACCACUUGGACUCCAUGGUCUUUUUCAGCUCCGUGCUUUCGGAUAGAAGCCAUUUCUGGAUUAAGUGCUCCUGUUUGAUGAACCAAAGUGGGAGGUAGAGGCAGGUCAAAUACAUGCCAAUUGUCAAUAUUUUCAGGCUUUGAGGAUUCAGUAUUUUAGCAGUUUGGACACUUCCUCCAAGGAGUGCCCCUUUGUAGACACCAUUAUGUGUGGUUCUGGUUCUGCUCUUUCCUCCUUAUGUGACCGUAAGCAAGUCUGUUAGCCUUUCUAUGUUUCAGGUUCUUCAUCUAUAAAAAAGAAUGAUGACAAAUUCCUUUCAGCUAUAGAUUCUAUAAGACAUUCUGUGAUGUUGAUGGGUCAAAAGAAAUCGCCAGAUUAGUAGUCAAGCUCUUUCAGAUACCGAUUAAAUAUAAUCUGAAUCUCCUACGAGCAGCAUAAUGACAUUUUUCAUAUAGUUGAGGUUGCUUGUGAUUAUUUUGCUCACACUUAUUCAGCUCUCUAGAUGUAUGUAUGUAUCAGCAAGGACACAUAGGUAAAGUGACUUAAAAAAAGAAAAGUGAUCAUCUAUAUUGCUUCUUAUGGAGAUUGAAAAUCAAGAAAACUCAGUAGAAAAUGUGGUUUCUGGUCUCCUUAAUCUUCAAGUGACUUACACAAUGAUUUCAUUUUUACAAUCAAAUGUUUUUAAACCCUAUACAUAGAGACUCUGUUCUUGCCCUCAUGGAAGUAGGACUGACAAGUAAGGGCAUAUAUGUGAGGUGAUUUGCAUGUGGGGCUUGUGAAAAUAAGGAUAACUUUUAUUUAUAGUCACUUCUUUUAUCUGGUAUAAUAUUGUAGCCUUUUAAGCAUCUUUCUAAAAUACUUAAUCUUGUACUUCUCAUGAGUUGUAAAAUUGACUUUUUUUUCUACCCUUUUCUUUUCCCUUUUUUCUAUACAUACUAUAACUAUUUCUGUCCUCACUAAGCUUGGAGGUCAAUUCUUUUGGUCUCUCUGUCACUUAGUUUCUUCUAAAAUUCCAUUUUUCUUUGAAAAUCCAUGUUGUCCUUACUAAAAUCGAUUGAAGUUUUUUUUUAGAAAACCUAAUAAAAAGGAAUAUUUUUAAAAAAUAGAAAACCAUUUCCAGCCAUUCCUUUGAUAUAUGUACAUCCAUAUUCUUUCCAUUAAAUGUGUUGCUACUAUGAAUAUUUGAAAUUUACUGGACCUUUUCAUUUUUGGCGCUCUUAGGGUAUAUUCAUAGGCAUGGGAUCAUUGGGUGAAAAGGUAUAGAUAAUUCGGUCUUGGGGAGUUUUUUUCCUUGUAUAAUUCCAAAUAACUACUUCUUUGAUUUCUAAAAAUUGCGAGACUAAACAAUUGGAAAGUGUAGCAUAUAGUAGCAAAUCAAAUCAAAUACAUUUUCUGUCCUAAUAAAAUUUCCCCACAAGAUGUAUCAGUCUGGAUAUUUUAAAUGAGAAGAAGGGUUUUUCAGGAGGGUGGUUGCAACUAGGAGGUCAGUGAUGUCUAAAAUAUUAGAAGGAAAUUGUAAGAGCAUACAGUAUUUAAACAAAUAUGUAUUUUGUUGUCCCUAAUGAACAGCUGUAGAGUUUGUUUUAAAAAAUAACCUAUGAGGAGUCAGUUUGGCAAUAAGAUUAAACGACUGGGGUGUUGAGUUAGGAUAUGCAGUGGAAGAAAUUGUAAAUACCCAUGUGAGAAAUAAUAAAGAAAAUGCAUGAGAGGAAGGAGUAGAUGUUAUAGACCCUGAUUGUGAAUAGGAAAGGUGCUCUUUGCUCUUAGUGCUUGUUAUGGAUGCUUAAAAGGACUAGGUAAAAGAGUAUGGGGAAAAAAUGGCACACCAGCCUAGUAUCUGUGCCAAGAAAACCCACAUGGAGUCACAAGGAGUGGAACACAAUUGAAAAACAACUGAACAACAACAAAAGAGUAUGGGAAAUUCUUCCUAAGGCCAAAUCAAAAAUCCUCAAAAACUUUUUAGUAGGGCUGAUCAUGUGCCAAGUAGUAUGCUAUGUUCUGAGUUAGAAAGAAAAAAAAUCAAGUGAUACCUGCCCGAAAUGAGCUUCCAUUCUACUAGGGUGGAACAACCUGAAUACAGAUAAGUAAGCAUAAAUCUGAAUUAUUUGAGGGAUAAAGAGCACAGAUAACUGGGGGAUUAGGAAGAAGCUUGUUAUUUUGAAGGUUAAUAAGCAAGAUAGAUACCUUUUCUGCUUUAGGAUCAAAUGAUCUAUGUUAGCAAAACAAUUUUAAAAUGAUUGGAACCGUUAUAAUUUGAAGGUGCUAGUUAAAUUCUUAAUAGAUUCUUUUAAAAUGGUGACUGGAAUUCUCGUUUUAUUCCAUGCUCUUGUUUUGUUAUAGGUAAUUGAGUUGAGAAAGAAAUACUUUGUAAAUAUAUCUUCAUUCAUUCUUGAUGGCAAAGUAAACAUCUAUUUUAAUAGUUACUUUAGAUAACUUAUUAAUAAAAGUAAUUUAUUUCAUUAAAUGAAUUUUUAAGUUCCACAUAUAGGUUUUUUUAUUCUCCUUUUCAUUACAAAGAUGACAAACUGAUGUAAGUAACAAAGAAUUUUUCAGAAGUAACAUCUUCCCUGGCCUAUUCUCCCUUUACCUACACAGAGUAAAUAACAGUACACUAAAAUUGUCAGUUUCGGUAAUAAUGUCAUCCAUAAAAUCUUGCUUGUUCAGAGAAGUGAGGAAAAUAUUUUGAUGUUUUACAAAAUAAGAUCACACAGUUAAAAGAAUGCCAGCAAACUAUUAGAUAUUAAAUCAAUCACUCGGUUCACACUUAUUUAUUGAGGACCCCCAGUUAGGACCUCCCUCUUUGAAUCACUAAAAGCAUUUAAAAUGGACUUUCAAAUUAAAGUCUGUUUUGAGCAAAUCUAGGAGGUGAUUAUGAUAUUACUAGUACCCCCACAUCUUCCCAAACCUCCCCCUCAAAAAAUAAAAUUCAGUGGAAUUUGUUUACUUCUGUAGUAGUUAUACUGUAUUGUCCUAUGUUCAUAGGAAUUUCAUUUCACUUCAAAGAAACUAUAUUGAGAAAAAUUUUCUUUUUUUGGCUCUUCUUGGCCUGUUUCCCAAAUCAUGGUAGAAAGAUACUUUUAAAAAAAGAAAAGAAAAAAUACUAUUUACAUAGAUAUGGAAGUGAUAUCCAAAUUUGAUGUUUCUUGAAGAUUAUAGCUUACAAAUAAGAGACUUAAGAAUUUAAUAAAAGGGAAACAGUAGAAGAUGCCAUUCAUUGUGAAUUCAAAGGGCUUUGGAGUUUAUGGUGAAGUGAUCAUCCUUUUCUUUAUAUAUUUUAUAUGAUUUUAUAGGAAUUUAAUUUUUUUACUAUUAUAAAUGUUUCAUGUAAUGUAUCAAAAAUUAAAAGUAUAAAACAACCAUUGGAUGUGAACAGUUGUGACUAGCAUUGGCCUAGAAUGUAUUAAGUAUGGUUGAGAUGGCCACUUCUAAAGGAUUGAAGCCAAACUUCUUGAAGUCAGUCUAUUUCCUUUGCAGGAUUAAACAUGUUGUUUUUAAUUUCUUCAUCGAAUUCAUGACAUAUCACUGUCUUUCAUAGCCAUUCUUCCCCCUUUUUUAUUAUUACAAUAUCCUGUUUUGGUCAUUAUGAGCUCAUUUCUUUUCUACAUACUUUGUUCAAUGAAUUUGGCAGUGGUGAGCUCUUAGAUUCCAUUGGAAUGGCCUUCAUUCUUAUUUGGUUUCUCUUAUUAGCCUUACUCCAUAGGAAACUUUUUGACACCCUCUUGCUCAAGAGAACGUGUCCUUUGGGUCCUUUUUCUUGGGGAAUUGGGCUGUGAACAACUUUUAUCUUGGCAUUUCACUGACUUUUUUUAGUCACCCAGCAUGUUGCCCAUCCUGGUGGAAUUGGAGAACUUUGCUUAGGAAAAUGUUUUGUGCCAGGAUAUUUCACCUGACCCAAAUACCUGUUAGGAGAAACUUGUUUCUGAUCCUUUGAGGAAAAUUUCAGACGUGUGUAUCUAUGACUUCUGAAAUGGAGAAGGAUUAAAAAGAAAGUAGUUCUUUGGCAAAAUUACAGAAAUAUUAUUUUAUAAUGUGCUUUUGGUCAAGCAUUAUUUUGUGUAAAAGGAGUCCAGAUGCCAUGGUCAUAGGAUGAAAUCUGUAGCCACAGCAAUAGUACUGGGAGGAAAUUUUUUUAAUUUUAAAAAUAGACUUGUUAACAUCAUCACCACCUCUAAUGGCUGUUGACAUUAAUAAAACGUCAAACACUUUCCAGCUUAGCUUUAUUUUUAAAUUUAAAGUGAAAGACACGAAAGCGGUCGUUUGUAGUAGUCCAGUAGCCAGAAUUAAAUGAGAAAAAAUAAGACAUUGCAGGUAAUCCCUCAUUGAGGAGGAAGAAAAGAGGUUAUAGAAAUCUUAACUCCUCUGAAUAGUUCUUGGAGAAAAUUUGGUGUGGUUUAUCUUAGUAUCCACGUUUUUGCUUAUUUAGUGAAGAGUUCAAGUCGGUAUAACCACAACCCGAUUUAGACUCUUUUACAUAAGCCUGUUUCUCAUGUUAAGAAGUUGUGCCUCUCCUUAAAGCCUAGUUUUCCCUUUUAAAUCAGAAUACUGGUCUUGGGAUCAUACGUUCCUAGAACUUACAUCUAGUGCUAAACCCAGAGUCAUGCUGACUUCAGACUCGGCCGCAGACACCCCCUGGGCAUUUGCUUGCUUCAGUAUCCCCGACUAUAAAACGGCCAUGAUAAGGGCACCCGCCUUCUGGAAUUGCCCUGAUGGCCGUUUGGAAAGACGGAGCUCCAGGCGUGUCAUAGCAGGAGCUUCCUCGAUGCCGCCUUCGCCUUUCGUGAGCCGAAAGAACUAUUGAAGCACGCGGCGCGAACGCUGAUCCUUUAACAGGUCAGCCAGUCCACCCGCCUGGUUGCCGGUUCCAGCUCUGCGUCCUGGGCCGCUUUGCUCCCUAAAGCUAAUCUUAGACACUCAUCGGACAGGGCUGACAGCAGGGGGUUCAGGCUCAGGGCGGUGGGGAACAUCGAGGCGGCCCAGCUCGUCCCGGUCGUUUUGUAGUGGGAGGACAAGAUCUCGCGCGGCAUCUUCACUUCUCAUCGGGUCACGAUGACUGCACACAGCUUGCUCCCAUGACUGCACACAGCUUGCUCACAUGACUGCACACAGCUUGCUCACAUGACUGCACACAGCUUGCUCCCAUGACCGAAUUCGCACGCUUCCUCUGAACACGGACCAGGACGUGCCGCCAGUCUGGGUGUCUGCCGUGUUAUGGGGCUUGAACACUGGCAGCAGUCUCUGCCGCGUAGCCCUCAAGCAGCGAUUCGCUGAGUGCGGCCCUACGCACAGGCUUAGCUUCGCCUUUCCCCCGUUUCAUCCUCCUAAAAGGAGGACCUUAAAUCGGUAGCAGUAAACGUGUAUUAGCGCUGCCCGCUGGGUAGCGUGAAACACGCAGGGGGAGCAUACAGGGCACUGUGCGCGCCUUGAACAACCCGCAGUUUACAGCCCAGGGAAAUGGGUGAGCAAAAAUAAUUAUAUUAGAGAGCCCCGCCCAAGUCCGUGAGAUGCCGAGCGGUGCGUCAAGUCAGGGCAGAGGAGCUCCUUGUCAGCCCUCGACAGACAGCGGGUGGCCGGGGCCGGGUCUGGGUAAGAGAAGGCUUCCCUUUGCAGUCGGCCUUCCACCUGGCUCCGAGGCCGGCCUUAUUUCCGUCAUGUCAUGAAGUGUAGCCAGGACGCUUGUCUCCUGACCCUUUCCUUUCCUGCGAGGGAACGGUCAGGGUGUGGGUGGGAAGGGGUGAAGUACAUAGUGAGAAAUGACUAGUCAUUAAAAGAACCUUGGGAGAGUUUGUGAGAAGACAGAAGGUGCGGAGAAUAAGAACAUUCGAAGGCCUGGAGCUUUGUACUAGUGGAGAAAGGCCGUGCUAUUUAGACUCCUUCCUAUCGAGCUGAAGUUCUUCCCAGUUGUGAUUCUGGAAGUCAUUUUUUCAAUCAGUUGACGAACCAAUGAGCAUGUAUGGAACUGGCAGCGAUCUAGAAGAAGGCCGUACUUUUUGUUUGCCGUGCGAGCCUUCAAUUGGAAAGCCACAUUGGCUCAUCGUUAUCAACCUUUCCCAAAGUUAGAAGCCUAAAUAUUACACCCUCGUGAAAAAGAAAAUAAAUAUUCCUGCAAAACCUGGUGAGAACAGAACUUUUCAAGUAUUUCCAAUACCUGUUUGUAUGCUGUUUAUACUAUACAAGUGAGUAUUCUAUGCCCAUAUUAACACAAGUCAAUCGCUUUCCAAUAAACCAGAAUGAAGUGCACCAUAGUAUUUACAGAUCUAGGAGAGUCAUGAAAUGAAAUUCAUAACAUUUUUUUCAUCCCAUUUAGUGGUCUAUUAUUUGAAAAUUUAAGUAUGUACCCAUGAAGGCAAAAACCAUAUUUCGCAAUGAUCCCAAGAACUCAUGCAAUCAGUUAUGAUAAAAUCUGCUCACAUUCCUACGAUCUGCACUGUUCAAUUUCAUAGUAAUGUUGGGACAAAAAUCAGCAGGGUUAUGUCAUUUGGAACAAUUUGGGUAAAAACUAAAAACUUAGAGGCAAGACGUUGAAGAUAAAUUGUGGAGACCUCAUGGGAGAUAGCUUUUUAUAGUACACUGAGCAUAGAAACUGGAAUCAAAAGACUUGUAUUUCAUGUCCUGUCCCUGCCAUAUGCUAAGUGACCUUGAUUAAGUCACGUAAAUUCUCUGGUCCCCAGUUUCCUAUUCUGUAAAAUAAAGGAAUAAUAAAAUAAAUUUUUACCCUACAGGGUUGCUGUGAUAAAAAUGCCACCUAGAAAGGUUCGUUUUUAUUUAAAAAAAUAACUUGGAAUGGAAAGUAAUGUAAAAUAAUGGUAAAUUAAUGUUACUCAUAAAUAAGAUAAACAAAAAUUGUAAUAUAACUUCUAGACUACUCCACACAUUAAACAAUGAAACAUUAUGCUCAUUUUUGGUGGGAGAACAACUGUUCUUCCAAUGAUAGUAAGAAAGUGACACCUUUUAUUUAAGUGCCUAAUAAAAAUAUUCUGGUAAACGCUAUUCCUCUCAAAGAAAGGUAUAAUUCUGGGUUAGCAUCUUCCAUUUCCUCAGCUUUGAUUAAGCUGCUAACGUAAAGGUUUUUAUUUCUGAAGAAAAGUAAGGAUUUAAAGGCUUCUGAAAACAUAGUUGUUUCUUUAGGAUAUAUUCCAAUCAUGUUUGACAUUAUAUAGCAAAAACAUCUUUAAAGGUGAGUAAGGUUUAAGGGAUCUGAGAAUGAUUUGCAUUCACAAAGCACCUUUUAUUUGAAACGAUUCCACAUUAUUUUGCAAAUAUAUAAUAAUGGUACUGUUCCCACUUUGGUGCUACAACUCUUCCUGUUUGACUGUAAAUCAUUUUGCUCUAAAGUUAAUUUCCCUUCAUUCAUGAUUUCCAGCCUUUGUUUUAUGAAGCUAUAAAUUUCUUUCUAAUUAUAAUAUUUCUUUCUGCUAUAUUAAUUAUUCAUUGCUAACCAUCUAGAGGGCGAGGCCUAUAAGUGUCCUAUGUACCCUUUGUUUAAAAUAUGAAAAGCCUUGAUGAACAAGGGUUGAUUGGAUAUGUUUGUUCUGGAAGAGAAUAUGACUUAGAGAAUAUUCGUUUCUGGGGUAGUUUGAAUAGAUGUAAGAAUUUUUACAAUUAACAGAGUUUAGAAAGUGAUCCCUUGAGGUUAUUUCCACAUCUCAGUUAGACUCCAAAGUUUCUGCAAAUAGUAGAAUGGUGAACAUUUUAAGAGAUGACAUGACAUUCUUGCUUCUCUAAUAAAAUUGAAUGAUAAUAUUCUACCUAGAUGGUGUGAUUUGUUUGGCUGCAAAAAGCACUGCACUAUUUCAUCUCUAAUUGUAAACUAAACAGUGCAAAUAGAUUAAUCCUUGUUUGGAUUUAUAAGUAAGAGUUAAGUUGCUCCCAGUGUAAUAUAGCACCAGAUCGAAGUCAACAGGCUAUGAUUUCAGUGCUAGACACUGCCUUAAGGCAGAAGAAAUUACACUGUCAUGCAGAGGAUAUGUAGCUGCUGCUAUUUUUGUGUUUGAGUUCUUUGUUGUCACAUAGUUGAAGUCAAUCCAGAUGAGGAAGAAGUGUUAACCAACAAAAGGAGAAAAUUACCUGCACAUGGCCAGGGGGUCUGGGGCUAGAAGAAUAAACUGGGGUCUGUUCCAGUAAGCACUUCUUCAACUCAUGCCCAUCCAGAUUGGAAACAAGUUGUUCACAAAAACAAAAUGCCACCUAAAGCUGAAAUUUCAGUCCUGUCUAAGUCUUUUGCUGUCAUACCGGAGUCUGAGAAGGCUCACACACACACACAGACACACACACCCCUAUGUUCAUAAUACACACAAAUAUGUUUGUUUCUGUGUAUAGGUAUAAAACUGUUUUGCUAAAUAAAUCUACUUUAGGCUGGGUGUCACGGGUUUAGGAAGAUCAAAAGAAUUGCCUUUGUUGAGGCUGUUCCUUAAGAAGCAUGAUCAUGGUCAUAAUGAUAGUCUUUUUUUAUAUAUAACACUAGCUUUACCAGUCUUGUGUCUGUUAUUAAGGUCCUGUGGGGAAUGGCUAUGCUGUAUGAAUGAUAGACGUGGUAAAUAGAGAAAAACAUAUAAA